ACCAGAGCUCAACAGCUCCGAAGAAUCAAGCUCUCCUCUGUUACUGCUCAGCAGCCCCAAUUCCUUUGGAUUUCUGGACUUCUCACCAAAAGCUCAGCCCAGCAGAGUUGGGAACUUUCCUCACGUGGAAGUGAACUACGCGGUACAUGUCUACAUCCCAGUUUAUAUACCACCAGCACCAAGGAAAGAGAUGGCCAUUUUUUAACAAGCAAUUUCAGAUCCACUAGCAAAUACCAUGACUUUGAGUAAAUGAAUACAUAAGAUAUUUUGUAAGGAAAACAGAAAAAAAAGCAGAAUUUACCGAAUGAAGAAAGGCCUGAUUUUUUGAAUUCAAAUGGGCUCUUUUCCUCGGUUGUUCUUUAUCUCUGUCAAUUUGACAAGGUUACCAAUGUAUGCAACAGUAUCAAUUUUGACUCAUCCACAAUUCAUGAUCAAAAAUAUCAAUUUUGAUUUACAAAAUUAUAUAUAUACUAAAACUGAUCCCGGAGACACUGUUCCUAGACUGUUCAUAGACUGUAGCUUAGGAAUAGUGAAAUGACGUUUGUGCCCCUGCUUGACUGGUUGCUCUCUUAGUUAUGUUCAGUAUAAUGGCAUUUUUGCCCUGAUGAACAGCUACAUAGCCCUCUUUCUCAGUUCGGUUCUCGUCCCGUAAGAAGCUGCUGCUUGGCUAACCCGCUCGCUGCUGCAGUGCUCAGUGUCGGUCAUGUAUCCUGCGUGGGCUCAGAGUUCCCCCUCCUUUUUGGGGGGGAGGUGCCCUCUGAUCCUGCUCGGGGUUUAUUCCCUUCGCCCGCAGCCCACUUGAACAAUCAGCAGGCAGAUUUAUCGUAGAAUGAAGAUCCAGCUUGACUCUAAGGACGAGGCAACUCAAAAUGGGUGUUAGCGACUCCGAUUUUGAUGAUCGUAUACGA